UACGGAGGAUGCGAGCGUUAUCCGGAUUUAUUGGGUUUAAAGGGUGCGUAGGCGGCUUAGUAAGUCAGCGGUGAAAUUUUGCAGCUUAACUGUAACAGUGCCGUUGAUACAGCCAGGCUAGGAUUUGGUUGCUGUGGGUGGAAUGUGUGGUGUAGCGGUGAAAUGCUUAGAUAUCACACAGAAUAUCGAUUGCGAAGGCAGCUCGCAAAGCCAAGAUUGACGCUGAGGCACGAAAGUGUGGGGAUCAAACAGGA
rnacentral:rRNA from 1 species